GCCGCCAGUGAGGGGCCGCGCUCAGGGUAGAAGACGGGAACGAGAGGAGGCCGGGCUGGAGAAGGCAGGAUAACCGGAGAGGAGGGACGUGUUGGAGAUAACUGAGGAUGUGGGAACUAAGCACACAGAGCUAAGUAACCUUCCCAAGGAUAGUGAAGUAGUAAAUAGCAAGGAUGAAAUUCUGUCUGCAGCCGGACUUGGGGCUCUCAAUAUGCAAAGCUCGUCUCUCAGCAAAGGCAUGUGACCCUAUGUGAGCUGCCAAGUCAGAAACCAGUGGCUGUGGAGAACAUUUCAGCAAUGGCCAGGUCUCCUGGUCACUGGAACAUUACCGGAUCCUGAGAGCCGCAGAGGGUCUGUCGCGUAAAUAUACAACUGAAUCCUAAGGUAAACUGUGGACUUCGGAGGAUUCUGAUGUGUCGGAGGUUCAUCCUUGGUGAAAAAUGUACCACAUGCAAAUGGAGACACGGCAGUGAGCAAGUUCAGCAUGAUUGCUGCCCUAAUGGCAUAGGGGAUGAUGCGGUGGCCAUAAAGCUGCCCAAAACAUUUGUCCCCAAAACUGAAGAUUCUGACAAGGUAAGAAAAAAAAUAAGGAUUUUUACUGUUUUAUUUUCUUCUGGUCUGGGCUUUCCUGAGGCUGAAACCAAUUGACUCCAGUUGUAAAUCCUGCUGGAGAGAAAGUGCUUAUUUUUCUUUCUUUCUUUCUUUCUUUUUUUAAAGGGAAUUGAUAGCUGUGUAAGCAUAUCACUGGUCUGGAGACUUGAGGUGAAGCUCCAAUUUGCUUGCCCAAGGUCCCUGAUCAACCUCAAGGAAGCCAGUUCAUAGAAGCCCCCGUUCUGACUUAUCAAAAUAUUCACUUGACCUUGAAAAUAUUCUCAUUGAUGUCAUGCAGCUAGCAAACGAUAAAGUAUUUGAACAAAAUGUUUGCAUCAGUGACUCCAAAUUGACACAAACUCUGCAGGUUGUCUCUAGGAUGAGAAAUCUCUCGAAGGCUCCUUUUAUUUAGUGCUCGCAGGGGUUUGUUACUCUCUGUGCUGAAAGACGACAAGCAGCAUGUUAAUUAAAGAACUGACAUCCUUCAAUUUACUCUUUUCUCCCUACUUGCCAUGUUCCUCUUUCUUCCCUAACUCCCAUCCCCACUCCCGCCGUCCCCAGAGAAGUGUAAAUGAAAGGUUUCACAGUUUCACAUGAAUAAUUUGGGGGCAGAUACAGUUCUCUUCAUCAACCACUAUACAGUAAAGUCAAAUCGGGUACCCUCUUAUGUGAAUUUUUGAUCUUUUUAACACAGGAAAAAAUCAUUUUGAUAAAGGUUAAUGCCUCCUUAAUAUUUACACACUUGAAUCAUAUUGAAAAUGCGUUCUGAAAUUCUGAAAUCUUGAAUUAAUAUGACAACGUGCAAAGAUUGUGUGACACUAUUUGUAAUUCAUUAGCACAUACUCUACAAUAUAUUAGCAUCAAAUGUGGGAGGCUCUGUCAUGGUCCUGGCAAACCUGUAAGUUUCAUCCUGGUUUAUGGUCUAGCACUUUAAGAUUCUGACAUGGAUGUCCAGAGACAAUUCCAAAUGAUUCUUGCAGAUCAGGAAUAAAUUAAUUUAUCCAGCAACCUGCUAGAUAUAAUAUAGUAGCCUGAGAAACAUGCAGCCAUCCAGCAUAUGUUUGUCUAGUUUCGAGCGGAUUUUGAACACCAGACUGCCAUCGUGGGAAUGAAUUGUGACAUGACCCUGGUAAAUUGGGGACUGCAUCUGCUCUGUGGCACCUGGCAUGUGUCUCCCUCACACAGUGAGUCUGCAAAUGAUUAAUGGUCCCUACAAUUCACUUCAUUUUGAAACAGUGCCUGGGUAACCUCACGUGGAUCAGCAACAGCUCCUGGAACAAGUGGAAAUCUAACGGUGUCAUAGAUUCCAUAAGUUCGUUCUGUGCUGAUGCUAAAACCCUCUGGACUGUUUAUUUUAAUGACUUGUUCUCCUGGGAAUCGGAAAACUAGUCUCCUACUGACAGAUACACAUAGUGUCCCAAAUAGCAAAUUAAUGGCAAUGCUUAAUUACCUCAAAUAUUUAUAUCUUAGCUCUUAAAUAUACCCAAAUCCCCCCCCCCACCAAUCCUUGGGCAUCGUAGAAUAUUCAGAGUUCCCUUGAACUUGAAAACUUUUGUAAGGAACACAGCCUAAGAAUUUAUGUUUAAAAAUAUUUAUAAAUGCCGUUUCUGGUUUGACUGUUAUUACAGAGAAAGCUGAAUGAUCUGGAUUUUGGAAUUGACAGGGCUGCUUCGUGUUUAUGAUUAAUCUCUGUGACCGGCCUACUUGGAACUGUAGUCUAAUAUUUUUGAUCCAUUGUAUAGUGUGCUCAUGUAAGUGUGAGUGUGUGAGUGUAGGUGCACAUGGGCACAUGUGUACAGAUCUUUAUGGAACAAAGCAAAUACACUAGUGAAUGCACACAUGUGCUCUUGUCCUUGUGAUCACUGUUGCCUGCACACGUCAGCUUGUUCUUGCUUCUCCCUUUGGGCAAUGCCAGAAAGCUCUGCACUCAGCCUCAUCCCUGCCCGGCUGCUCUGUCAGGAUAUUUCUUCCUAAUAUCCCUUUAAUCCCGUCUCCAGGAAUGUCAUACUGCGUUUUAGUUGGGCACAUUGCUACUCACCCAAAUACACAUUUUCCAGUCUUUCUUACAGCUAGGUGUGGACAAGUGACCUCAUUUUAGGCAAGACAUGCGUGCAAUUGUGUGGUGUGCGUACCCUACCGUCGGUGGACCUCUUCCAUCAACCUGCUGCCUAGAACAUAACCUGAUGACUUAGGCUCCAGCGGCCAUCGUGUGCAAAUAUCAAGUGAGGUCCACACGGUGAGCUGGAAGGAGCCCUGCGCUCUGACACCUGGGGGACCUCGCUUGUUCUGGGCUGCCUAUCUGCAGAUUAACCUCUCUGUCUUGCUCAAAGCAUUGUUUUUCCAGCUGUUGGUCUGCAGGCUGUAUCCUAACAGAUACAAGUGUCCUCGUCAUUUCUUCCACACCUGCCCUGGAUGCCGUAUGUCCCCUGCUCUGCGCCCUGCCUUCCAUGUUCUUCGUUGUGCUCCCAGGAGCCAGUUCCCGCCUGUGUGACGUCCUCGCCUGAUCGUAGGAGGCCUGCCAAGAUCUGAUGACGGCCUCUGUCCAGCCUCGCACCUGCUGUUACUCCUGACCGUGACUCCAGGUUUUGGCAGCACUGCUGCGCGUCCUCACACUUGAGAUGAGCAAACUGAGCUGAGAGAGAUCAUUUCAUUUUCCCAAGGACACACAGGAGGCUCUCCCCACUGUUGAAGAUACAUCAUCAUGUCUCUGGAAGAAGACAGCUGCCAUGUCAUGAGGAUGCUCAAGCAGCAACUUGGAAAGGUUCAUGUGGUCCAGACGAAAGGGACUGAGGGCCUCUGCCAACAGACAUGUGGGCGAGCCAUCUUGGAAGCAGAUCCUCCAGUCCCAGUCAAGCUUUCAAAGACUGCAGUCCUGGCCAACAUCUUGGCUAUAAAUUCAUGAGAGACGCUGAACCAGAACCACCCCCACCAGCUAAGCCAAAACCAAAUUCAUAACCCUUAAAGAAAUGUGAGAUAAUAGAUAUUUGUUGUUUUCAACUGCUAAUUUUCAGGAUGUUAUCCAGCAAUAAUACAUAAUGAAUAUAGGCAGAUGCUAUCCUGUUGUUCUCCCCCUUCCUUUUUCACGAUUAUCAGCAAUAUUGCAACAAAACCUCUUUGUACAUCUGUGUUUAUGUCCUCAAGAUAUUAUUUCUGUGGGAUAAAUUCUUAAAAUUGGAAUUUAUGGCUUGCACAUAUUAAAUUUAGGGAGAAAUUGCCUCCCUUCCAAAAUUGUAACAGUCUAUUCUCUCCCAAACAGUUGAUGAGAGUGCCUCUAUAUCUUUGCUAAUUUUAAAUGUUGUCUGUCUUUCUAAUUUUUCUCAGUCUUAUCUGAUAUUUUUGUUAGUUUGUAUUCUUUAACUCUUGGUGAAGAUAAGCAUGUUUUUGUAUGUUUAUGAUUUUAAAAAAUCACCUCACUUAUUUCAGAUGAAAUUUUCUUUGCAUGCUCCUACCCCUUGCUCUUCUACACUGCUUGCCAUAUAGUUCACAUUACAUAAAUGUGCCGUUUUCAAAUGGAUGAAUGAUAGGCUAGUAAAUGCAAUGCAGAUGUGCAGAAAGUCUUCAUUUAACUCCAUGGGAUUGACUUUUAAUUGGGAAAAAAUAUCUUAGCAACCAAUUAAUUUAAUUAUCUUUCCUUUACCCUUUAUCAAUAUUUAAUUAUCAUCCAGGUGUUCUCUAAGAUCUUCAUUUUAUAACUUGUUCAGGUUAAUUUGUUUCUAAAAGUGGCCAUAUACUUUUUCUCUCUGAAUAUUUUAACAAUAGCAGGUUAGUUAUAUAACAAAUAACUAUAAUGAUAGUAACAACAAUAUGAUGAUGCUAAUUCCAAUCAUUCUUGGGUACUUACUGCAUGACAAGUACAUUAUAUACAUCACUGACCUAAUUUAAUAUUUAUUACAGCCCUGUAACAAUUGUUAUUUCCCACCAUAGAACUGAGGAAACGAAAAUUCAGGGAGAUUAAAUAAAUUAGCCACAAUCAUAUAGCUACUAAAUGAUACAGUUGGGAUUCAGGCUCUUGUCUGUCUGAAUUCAAAGCCUGUAUUCUUUCUGUAAUGCUCAGCUGACUUUCUCAGAAAUAAAUCAUUUGUAUAGUUGUACUGUCAUGUUGUUAUGUUCAAAGAAAACCGACGGUUCAAGCAAAUAAUUCCAGAGUUUUAUUUUUAUUUUUUACUGAAGUAUAGUUGAUUUACAAUGUUAAAUUCUACAAUUUUAAAUGAUGAACAUUGAAAUUAUAUUUUUUCCUGCCUGGAGGGCACUGCUUACUGCUAUUGAUUGUUUUUGCAGAAGAAUGAGCAUUUUCCUUUCCUUCAUUGUUAACAAACUUAAUUCAGCCAUCAGUGGGUAAGUGACUCAGGCCCAGUUAAAGUGAGAGAUGCAAUUGGAACGUUUCACAAUGAAAAGAGA